ACCCUUGUAGCUCAGCCGUGGUCAGAGCGCUUGACUGUUAAUCAAGAUGUCGCGGGUUCGACUCCUGCCUAGGGUGCCA
rnacentral:tRNA from 1 species